GAGGGUAUAGCUCAGUGGUAGCGUGCGUGCUAAGGACGCACGAGGUCCUGGGUUCAAUCCCCAGUACCUCCA
rnacentral:tRNA from 1 species